rnacentral:rRNA from 1 species
UACGUAGGGUGCGAGCGUUAAUCGGAAUUACUGGGCGUAAAGCGUGCGCAGGCUGUUUUGUAAGUUAGAUGUGAAAUCCCCGAGCUCAACUUGGGAACUGCGUUUGAAACUACAAGACUAGAAUAUGUCAGAGGGGGGUAGAAUUCCACGUGUAGCAGUGAAAUGCGUAGAGAUGUGGAGGAAUAUCAAUGGCGAAGGCAGCCCCCUGGGAUAAUAUUGACGCUCAUGCACGAAAGCGUGGGGAGCAAACAGG